UGCAGUCGAGCGGUAAGGCUCCUUCGGGGGUACACGUAGCGGCGAACGGGUGAGUAACACGUGAGUAAUCUGCCCUUCACUUCGGGAUAAGCCUCGGAAACGAGGUCUAAUACCGGAUACGACCACUUCCUGCAUGGGAUGGUGGUGGAAAGUUUUUCGGUGGAGGAUGUGCUCGCGGCCUAUCAGCUUGUUGGUGGGGUAAUGGCCUACCAAGGCUUCGACGGGUAGCCGGCCUGAGAGGGUGACCGGCCACACUGGGACUGAGACACGGCCCANACUCCUACGGGAGGCAGCAGUGGGGAAUAUUGGA
rnacentral:rRNA from 1 species